AGCAGUAGCCGCGGUAAUACAGAGGGUGCGAGCGUUAAUCGGAUUUACUGGGCGUAAAGCGUGCGUAGGCGGCUUUUUAAGUCGGAUUUGAAAUCCCUGAGCUUAACUUAGGAAUUGCAUUCGAUACUGGGAAGCUAGAGUAUGGGAGAGGAUGGUAGAAUUCCAGGUGUAGCGGUGAAAUGCGUAGAGAUCUGGAGGAAUACCGAUGGCGAAGGCAGCCAUCUGGCCUAAUACUGACGCUGAGGUACGAAAGCAUGGGGAGCAAACAGGAUUAGAUACCCGCGUAGUCCCUGUCUCUUAUAU
rnacentral:rRNA from 1 species